ACCGACGAGGGGGAUUACCAGAUCAAGUUGCGUAACUUGAUCCGCUUCCUCGAAGGUGGCGACAAGGGCAAGGUCACGCUGCGGUUUCGCGGCCGUGAAAUGGCGCAUCAGGACAUCGGCCGCAGGCUGAUGGAGCGGAUCGCUGCGGAUCUCGAGGAGAUCGGGACCGUGGAGUCCUUCCCCAAGAUGGAAGGGCGCCAGAUGAUCAUGAUCAUUGCCCCCAAGAAGAAGUGAUCCGAAGGCCAGUCAGACGGACGGUCGGCAACAGCCGGCCGUCGGCCCCGGGUUUUCUGAAAAAUCUCGAGCGGAGUUAGUCUCAUGCCGA
rnacentral:misc_RNA from 1 species